rnacentral:rRNA from 1 species
AGUGAACGCUGGCGGUAGGCCUAACACAUGCAAGUCGAACGGCAGCACAGGAGAGCUUGCUCUCUGGGUGGCGAGUGGCGGACGGGUGGGGAAUACAUCGGAAUCUACUCUGUCGUGGGGGAUAACGUAGGGAAACUUACGCUAAUACCGCAUACGACCUACGGGUGAAAGCAGGGGACCUUCGGGCCUUGCGCGAUUGAAUGAGCCGAUGUCGGAUUAGCUAGUUGGCGGGGUAAAGGCCCACCAAGGCGACGAUCCGUAGCUGGUCUGAGAGGAUGAUCAGCCAAACUGGAACUGAGACACGGUCCAGACUCCUACGGGAGGCAGCAGUGGGGAAUAUUGGACAAUGGGCGCAAGCCUGAUCCAGCCAUACCGCGUGGGUGAAGAAGGCCUUCGGGUUGUAAAGCCCUUUUGUUGGGAAAGAAAUCCAGCUGGCUAAUACCCGGUUGGGAUGACGGUACCCAAAGAAUAAGCACCGGCUAACCUCGUGCCAGCCGCCGCCGCAG